rnacentral:lncRNA from 9 species
UUUUUUGGCCACCCCAGGGCAUAUGCAGCUCCUGGGGCCAGAGAUAAGAUCUGAGCUGCAGUUGCAACCAAGGCCACAACUGUGGCAAUGCUGGAUCCUUAACCCACUGUGCCAAACUGGGAAUCCAACCUGCAUCCUGGCGCUGCAGAGACACCUCCAAUCCCAUUGCACCACAGCAGGAACUCCCACAUUUGUAUUUUUGAUGUUUUUGAACUUGCAUUACAUUUGUAACUUUAAAAAUAAAACAUCUAAAAAUUAAAAAAAAAAUUGAGUCCAGAGCAAGGAAGAGCUUCUUAGAAGUGACCAGGAUGCCAUCAGCCUCAGCUUGUGCCGCCUGUUGCCUGUGAGUGGGAUCUUCAGGGCCAAGCCUUCAGUGAAGCCCUGAGUGGCAACUCUAAAUGCCAGAAUGGGCGUGGAUAUGGCAAAACCAGACCUGAGUGGUUGAAAUGAAACACCUCUGUUGCCAAGCGUCAGACCUGAGUCAGAGUGCCCUAAGGGAAACCUGGGCCCAACCAAGAGGACCCACAGAAGGCAAGCUCCUAACACCCCUUUUCUAGAAGCUGGCUGGGCAGCUCUGGGGGCAUGAAAGAGGACAUAGCCCCACCUUCCAAGCUGGCCCCCAUCUGCCAGAUUUCUCCGCAGGACUCCUCCCCAGGGAAAACUAUCCUAGAUGGCACAUGGCCCACCCAGAGGUGACUACACACUGCUGGGACUCUUCCUCCAGCCAGAAGCAUCUCUCAGCCUCCAGCCCAUGUCAGCUCUGUAGGCUUCAGCAAACACUGAGGACCAGAGUGGUUCUCAGAGCUGGGGAUGCUCCUGGGAAGGGAGGAGGAUCCCCCUAUCUAUUAGAGUCCUCUCUAUGUCAGAUGCUGCACAUCCUUUAUCUUACCUCAUCAACUAUAAUGUUGUCUGCUCUCCUCACCACCGAAUCCCCAACGCCUAGCAGAAUAGACGCUCAGUAAAUAUUUAAUCAAGAUAAUAGUGAAAUAACUACAAUUUAUUGAGUGCUUAUUAUAUGCCAGACACAAAGUGCUCCAUAUCUCUUAACUCCCACAAUAUUUGCAAGACGAAAAAUCUGCUAACUACUGUAUGAAGCUAGACUCUUCCUUCCUAUUUGACAGAAGAGGAAACUAAAACUGCUGAGAGGUGGAGUUCCUAUCAUGGUGCAGCAGAAAUGCAUCCGACUAGGAACCAUGAGGUUUUGGGUUCGGUCCCUGGCCUUGCUCAGUGGGUUAACAAUCCGGCAUUGCCCGUGAGCUGUGGUGUAGGUUGCAGACGCAGCUCGGAUCCCGCGUUGCUGUGGCUCUGGUGUAGGCCGGUGGCUACAGCUCCGAUUCAACCCCUAGCCUGGGAACCUCCAUAUGCCGCGGGAGCAGCCCAAAGAAAUAGCAAAAAGACAAAAAAUAAAUAAAUAAAUGAAUUAAUUAAUUUUAAAAAAAACAACUGCUGAGGUGGUGGAAGAGCAGACAGGUAAUAAAUGGACAGGGGGUCAGGCUUUGAACCAGGCAAAGUAAUGACCCAGGAAGUGAAAAUUGUGAGGAGAGGGGUCUGGGUGGAGUGAAUGAGAUGGGGGUGCAAAGGGAGAAACUGAGUGGACUUUGAAGGAAGUGCUUCUGAGGCAGAAGGCGCAAUGCCAGGGGCCACAGCCAACUGCCACCUCCUGGAGCAAGUGUUCUAGAGGCUGCCAGACAGCCCAAGUCACUCCUCUAAGAAAUGCUGACAUCAUGUCCUCAAGCACCACACUCCCUGCCCUCAGGAAGCAGUGGAAAGGAACCUUAAAUUUCAUCACAGCCACUGUGAGGCGAGGGCUACUGCUGCCACCCCAGUGAUCACAAGCCCGUUUCUUUCUCUCCCUUCCUUCCUUUCUUGCCUUUUAGGGACACACUUGCAGCAUAUGGAGGUUCCCAGGCCAAGGGUGGAAUCAGAACUGCAGCUGCCAGCCUAUACCAGCCACAGCAACACGGGAUCCGAGCCUCAUCUGCGACCUACACCACAGCUCACAACAAUGCCAGAUCCUGAACUCACUGAGGGAGACCAGGGAUCAAACCCAUGUCCUCAUGGAUACUAGUUGGGUUUGUUACCACUGAGCCACAACAGGAACUCUGUAUAAGCCCCUGUUUCUAUAAGCAUCUCUGAUCAGACCCUCUCCUAGAAACCUAGAGCCAGGGCAGUGUGCAUGCAUGCAUGUGUGUGUGUGUGUGUGUGUGUGUGCGCGCGCGCGCGCGCACGCGAGCCCAGCGGUGUGAGUAUGUUUGGGAGGAGGUGUAGCAAGUGGCUUCCCCAGCGCCACUUGAGAUGAGUCACAGGUGAUGCUCCAGCCCUGGAGCCUGGGCCUGCCUGGGCCUACCUGGGCAGGUAGAAGCACAUCGCAAACCCCACCAGUAGUUCUGAGGAUACCCACUCUCGUGACCUCACUCCUAAGCCGAGACGGCUGGGGUUGGCUUGUGGAGGGGGCUACAGGGCCCUCCUGGGCAGGCCACUCCAUGGACCUGACAUCUCAGGUGGGACGGGGCCCCCAUAAGGCAAGAUGGGAGAGGAAACAACUCUGACCCCCUCUUUCCCUAGCUCCUCCCAUGCUGACUCAAAGGACCAGGUCCACCCUGGACCCUCAGCCCCACCCAGCCCAGCCACUCCCAUGCAUCAUCCUGUUUUCUGCAGGACCCAUGUCACUUCCGAGUCUCCCUGGACUCAUCUGUCACUUGCUUAGUAUCUCCCCUGCUUCCUUGAAACUCUUGCUCGUUGCUCCCACUGUAUGCCUGGGAUGGAGCUCGGCACAGAGCAGAUGCUGAAUAGGUGCAGAUGAGCCUUGAGGAUAACGGGCUCACCUGUACCUAUAGGCUUGAUGCUCCAAGCGACCCCAAAAGAGAAGUCCUAUCUUGGACAUGGGCCUCUCCACUGAUGCUUUGGGUUCUGAUGGCUGCUUUGGCUCUUUCUGAGGUCCCGGAAGGGAGGAGGUGCCUCAGGUAAGGCUCAAGCUGUUGUUUGCUGUCUAUGGGUCUUAGGCCUUGCCCCCCCUGCCAGCUUGUCUGCCCAGGAGGCUUUUGUGUGUGUGUGUGUCUGUAUAGGUCUGCACCCAUGGCAUAUAGAGGUUCCCAGGCUAGGGGUCUAAUCAGAGCUGUAGCUGCUGGCCUACGCCACGGCCACAGCAAAAAGGGACCUGAGCCAUAUCUGCGACCUACACCACAGCUCAUGGCAGCCUCAGAUCCUUAACCCUGGGUGAGGCCAGGGAUCAAACCUGCAUCCUCAUGGAUACUAGCCCAGUUUGUCACCUGCUGAGGCACAAUGGGAACUCCCCUGCCCAGGAGGCUUUUGCUGACUCCUGCAGUGUUUCCGUUGAGCUUCUACAGAAAGGGAGAUCCCUUGCCAGAGCAGUUUAGCCCCUGCUAGCCCUCACACCACAGCCUUCUCCAUCCCAGAGCAAGAAAGGACCACAUGCAGAUGAAGGAGAGCACAUAGCCUCGGACCCGCAAACACUCGUCCUUUCCCAUCUCCAGGCCCCACCCUCAGUCAGCCCCUCUCUGCCAGCUGCCCUCCUCCUGUGUCUUUCCCUUGGGCUGUCCAGCACCACACACCUGGACAGGAUAUCAGUUCUUUCCCAAGAAGCCCAGGGGUCCCAGGCAAAUUAGGGGUAUAGCUAGCCAUAAACCACAUGGUGUCAGGCAGGCCCCCAUCUCCUACCUAAUGUCCCAAAGCUAAUCUGGGAGCAGUCUAUUUCUAGCCUACAGAGCCCCAGUGGAGAGUGCCAUAGCCUGAUUGCCCAGCUCUGACUCAGCGAAAACAUUCUUACCCAGGAACUCUGCCCAGCAAUCAAAAAGUUGGGGGGAAGGCCUAGACUGGGAACUUCCAUAUGCCAUAGGUGUGACCCUAAAAAAAAAAGAAAAAGAAGUGGGGGGAAGAGAAGACACAUUUUCUUUUUCUCUCUUUCUCUCUCUCUUUUUUUUCUUUUUUUCUUUUUUUAGGGCCGCACUUGUAGCAUAUGGAAGCUCCCAGGCUAGGGGUCCAUCAGAGCUGCAGCUCCCUGCCUACACCACAGCCACAGGAACUGCAACAUGGGAGGAUCCAAGCCGCAUCUGAGACCUACACCACAGCUCACAGCAACGCCAGAUCCUUAACCCACUGAGCAGGGCCAGGGAUGGAACCCACAUCCUCACGGACAUUAGAUGGAUUCUUAACCCGCUGAGCCACAGUGGUAACUCUCAGAGAAGGCACAUUUUUCUAAGCACCUGCUAUUAGCCAGGCAUCCUUCUGGGCCCUUCCAAAUUUAAGAUCUCAGAAUCCCCUAACUUUUCUUUUUUUUUUUUUUCUAAGAAAAAAAAGCAAGGAAAGUAAAUUUCUUUUAAUGAGAACUCAGAAUUAAACUUCAGAGGGACCCAACGUCAUACUUCCAUUCAGGGACUUGAUUCAAAAAAUUUAGUUUGAACUGCUGUUACCAGGUGGCAGGACCACCUUCAAAUGAAUCUUCAAUUUGGAAAAUACUGCUUCACCACCUGUUGGGGAUAAGUUGCAAAUGGAAUAAUUCAGUAUGGUUUGUAGCUAUUUUGAUGACCACCUUGCCUGCAUACUUUCCCAUAACCACUCUGCUGGUUGCUAUAAUCACCAUAUCCAUAGUAGUUGUUGUAACCAGUGUAGUCAUAGCCUCCAUAACCACUGUAACCUUGGCUGUUAUAUGCAUAGUUGCCAUAGCCUUGAUUCCAAUAGUUACUAUAUCCCUGGUUCAGAAUCCCCUAACUUUUCUUUUUUCUUUUUUUUUUUAUUUGCAUAUUGUCUAUCGAUCUUUCUACAAGGUAAGCUCACAAAGGCAGCAAUUAGAUCUAAGUUCCUGCUGUACCCUCAGCAUCUACAACGGGGACUGGUAUCCAGCAGAUCCUUCGUAAAUGUUUCUGAGAGUUCCCUUG